rnacentral:rRNA from 1 species
ACGGAAGGCAGCAGUGGGGAAUAUUGCACAAUGGGCGAAAGCCUGAUGCAGCAACGCCGCGUGAAGGAUGAAGGUCUUCGGAUCGUAAACUUCUGUCCUUGGGGAAGAUAAUGACGGUACCCUUGGAGGAAGCCCCGGCUAACUACGUGCCAGCAGCCGCGGUAAUACGUAGGGGGCAAGCGUUAUCCGGAAUUAUUGGGCGUAAAGAGUGCGUAGGUGGUUACCUAAGCAGGGGGUGAAAGGCAGUGGCUUAACCAUUGUUAGCCCCCUGAACUGGGCUACUUGAGUGCAGGAGAGGAAAGCGGAACUCCAUGUGUAGCGGUGAAAUGCGUAGAUAUUAGGAGGAACACCAGUGGCGAAGGCGGCUUACUGGACUGUAACUGACGUUGAGGCUCGAAGGCGUGGGGAGCAAACAGGAUUAGAUACCCUGGUA